GAUGAACGCUAGCUACAGGCUUAACACAUGCAAGUCGAGGGACCGGCGCACGGGUGAGUCACACGUAUCCAACCUGCCCUUUACUCGGGGAUAGCCUUUCGCAAGAAAGAUUAAUACCCGAUGUAAAGGAUGGGGAUGGGUUCCAUUAGGUUGUUGGUGAGGUAACGGCUCACCAAGCCUUCGAUGGAUAGGGGUUCUGAGAGGAAGGGCCCCCAGAUUGGAACUGAGACACGGUCCAAACUCCUACGGGAGGCAGGAGUGAGGAAUAUUGGUCAAGGGGCGGUAGCCUGAACCAGCCAAGUAGCGUGAAGGAUGAAGGCUUAUGGGUCGUAAACUUCUUUUAUAUAAGAAUAUGUAUUAUAUGAAUAAGGAUCGGCUAACUCCGUGCCAGCAGCCGCGGUAAUAC
rnacentral:rRNA from 1 species